rnacentral:rRNA from 1 species
GGGAGCAGCAGUGAGGAUAUUGCAAUGGAGGAAAGUCUGACCCAGCCAUGCCGCGUGCAGGAUGACGGCCCUACGGGUUGUAAACUGCUUUUAUACAGGAGAACCCCCACGUUGCGGACUGACGGUACUGUUUGAAUAAGGACCGGCUAACUCCGUGCCAGCAGCCGCGGUAAU